rnacentral:rRNA from 1 species
UACGUAGGGGCCUAGCGUUGUCCGGAUUCAUUGGGCGUAAAGAGCUCGUAGGCGGCUGCUCAAGUCGAAUGUGAAAACUCGAGGCUCAACCUCGAGCCUGCAUUCGAUACUGGGCGGCUAGAGUCUGGUAGGGGGAUCUGGAAUUCCUGGUGUAGCGGUGGAAUGCGCAGAUAUCAGGAGGAACACCGGUGGCGAAGGCGGGAUCUGGACCGGUAUUGACGCUGAGGCGCGAAAGCCAGGGGAGCAAACGGG